rnacentral:lncRNA from 1 species
AGAACCUUUGCAGCUAUACGCCCCUCUUUGUCAUAGCCAAACAGUACCUCACUCGAAGUCAUUAAAAAAAAACAUACCAUACGAGAGAAAAAAGAAUAUGAGCAGUCUAGUACAGAUAUCCUCUUCCGUUUUUAUCAUAAUUUACGUUAUGUUUUUUUAAGCACAACUCAUUGGUCUGUAAGAAGUUUUGAGAAAAGGAGAAUCGCGGCGGGCAUAAGACCAUAUGAUUAGUUUAUUAUGUUUAUUCAUAUGGUUAAAUUAAAACAUACUCUAGUAUUUUAAGAAGAAUAUAAUAUUACAACCCAAAUGUCGCUGCAUAAUUAUAUAUUGUCGUUAAGAUCUGAUAGUACCAAAUUGCUUUUCAAGUUGAUCAUAUAAUUCGUUUGGC